rnacentral:rRNA from 1 species
UAAAGUGGCGUACGGGUGAGUAACACGUGGAUCAUCUACCUCUUGUGGGGAAUAACCCUGGGAAACCGGGGCUAAUACCGCAUAAGCCUGCAAAGGGAAAGCAGCAAUGCGCCGAGAGAGGAGUCCGCGGCCGAUUAGCUUGUUGGUAGGGUAAUGGCCUACCAAGGCAAUGAUCGGUAGCCGGCCUGAGAGGGCACACGGCCACACUGGCACUGAAACACGGGCCAG